rnacentral:rRNA from 1 species
GAUGAACGCUGGCGGCGUGCUUAACACAUGCAAGUCGAACGAAGCAUUUGCGACAGAUUUUUUCGGAAUGAAGUUGCUUAUGACUGAGUGGCGGACGGGUGAGUAACGCGUGGGUAACCUGCCUUGUACUGGGGGAUAGCAGCUGGAAACGGCUGGUAAUACCGCAUAAGCGCACAAUGUUGCAUGACAUGGUGUGAAAAACUCCGGUGGUAUAAGAUGGACCCGCGUCUGAUUAGCUAGUUGGUGAGAUAACAGCCCACCAAGGCGACGAUCAGUAGCCGACCUGAGAGGGUGACCGGCCACAUUGGGACUGAGACACGGCCCAGACUCCUACGGGAGGCAGCAGUGGGGAAUAUUGCACAAUGGAGGAAACUCUGAUGCAGCGACGCCGCGUGAGUGAAGAAGUAAUUCGUGAUGUAAAGCUCUAUAAGCAGGGAAGAUAGUGACGGUACCUGACGAAGAAGCUCCGGCUAAAUACGUG